rnacentral:rRNA from 1 species
UACGAAGGGGACUAGCGUUGUUCGGAAUUACUGGGCGUAAAGCGCGCGUAGGCGGAUCGCUAAGUCAGGGGUGAAAUCCCAGGGCUCAACCCUGGAACUGCCUUUGAUACUGGCGAUCUCGAGUCCGGGAGAGGUGAGUGGAACUGCGAGUGUAGAGGUGAAAUUCGUAGAUAUUCGCAAGAACACCAGUGGCGAAGGCGGCUCACUGGCCCGGAACUGACGCUGAGGUGCGAAAGCGUGGGGAGCAAACAGG